CGGACGGGUGAGUAACGCGUGGGCAACCUGCCCUGUACAGGGGGAUAACACUUAGAAAUAGGUGCUAAUACCGCAUGAGCGUACAAAGGCGCAUGCCUAUGUGCGGGAAGCCCGCGAGGGCGGUACGGGAUGGGCCCGCGUCUGAUUAGCCAGUUGGCAGGGUAACGGCCUACCAAAGCGACGAUCAGUAGCCGGCCUGAGAGGGUGGACGGCCACAUUGGGACUGAGACACGGCCCAAACUCCUACGGGAGGCAGCAGUGGGGGAUAUUGCACAAUGGGGGAAACCCUGAUGCAGCGACGCCGCGUGAGUGAAGGAGCGUUUCGGCGCGUAAAGCUCUAUCAGCAGGGAAGACAAACUGCCCCGGAAGGGGCAGCCGGACGGUACCUGACCAAGAAGCCCCGGCUAACUACGUGCCAGCAGCCGCGGUAAUACGUAGGGGGCAAGCGUUAUCCGGAUUUACUGGGUGUAAAGGGAGCGUAGACGGCAAGACAAGCCUGGAGUGAAAGGCGGGGGCCCAACCCCCGGACUGCUCUGGGAACUGUCUGGCUGGAGUGCAGGAGGGGUAAGUGGAAUUCCUAGUGUAGCGGUGAAAUGCGUAGAUAUUAGGAGGAACACCAGUGGCGAAGGCGGCUUACUGGACUGUAACUGACGUUGAGGCUCGAAAGCGUGGGGAGCAAACAGGAUUAGAUACCCUGGUAGUCCACGCCGUAAACGAUGACCAUUAGGUGUCGGGGGCUUA
rnacentral:rRNA from 1 species